rnacentral:tRNA from 1 species
UAAGAUUUAAUAAAAAUUAUUUUUAAUUUUGAAAAUUAAUAGUUUGAUAACUUAAAAUCUU